UGGGGAAUUUUGGACAAUGGGGGAAACCCUGAUCCAGCCAUCCCGCGUGUGCGAUGAAGGCCUUCGGGUUGUAAAGCACUUUUGGCAGGAAAGAAACGUCAUGGGUUAAUACCCCGUGAAACUGACGGUACCUGCAGAAUAAGCACCGGCUAACUACGUGCCAGCAGCCGCGGUAAUACGUAGGGUGCAAGCGUUAAUCGGAAUUACUGGGCGUAAAGCGGGCGCAGGCGGUUCUGAAAGAAAGAUGUGAAAUCCCAGAGCUCAACUUUGGAACUGCAUUUUUAACUACCGGGCUAGAGUGUGUCAGAGGGAGGUGGAAUUCCGCGUGUAGCAGUGAAAUGCGUAGAUAUGCGGAGGAACACCGAUGGCGAAGGCAGCCUCCUGGGAUAACACUGACGCUCAUGCACGAAAGCGUGGGGAGCAAACAGG
rnacentral:rRNA from 1 species